CAACUACUCCCUCUGUUCCAAAUUUUUUGUCUUAGAUUUGUCUAGAUAUGGAUGUAUCUAAUACUAAAAUGUGACUUGAUACAUCUGUAUCUAGACAAAUCUAAGACAAGAAUUUUGGGAUGGGGGGAGUACUUU
rfam:Triticum aestivum genome assembly, contig: Triticum_aestivum_CS42_TGACv1_scaffold_591784_7BS